AUGGGCAAUAUAUUUGAUAAUAUCUCAAUUUACAGAUGGCUUUUUGAGCUUGGAGCAUGUAACAGUGCAAGAAAGAUGAAAUUUAUAUAGAACUGCUUCAGAAGAUACAUUAAAAGGGAUUAACACGAACAAGAAUAGGAAUUUGAAAUAUAGCAAGUAUAUGUGAGGAUUAUGAACCAAACACCAUGCUUCUGAUUCUUAAUUAGUGUAAGGGGUGGAAUGGUGUAUCAUUGAAGUUUGGUUAAAUUCACUCAUAGUCCCUCAAUUUAAAUGAUUG
rnacentral:misc_RNA from 1 species